rnacentral:tRNA from 1 species
GCCGGGGUGGUGGAAUUGGUAGACACGCUAUCUUGAGGGGGUAGUGGGAGAAAUCCCAUAAGGGUUCGAGUCCCUUCCUCGGCACCA